rnacentral:rRNA from 1 species
GGGUGAGUAAUGCCUAGGAAUCUGCCUGGUAGUGGGGGACAACGUUUCGAAAGGAACGCUAAUACCGCAUACGUCCUACGGGAGAAAGCAGGGGACCUUCGGGCCUUGCGCUAUCAGAUGAGCCUAGGUCGGAUUAGCUAGUUGGUGGGGUAAUGGCUCACCAAGGCGACGAUCCGUAACUGGUCUGAGAGGAUGAUCAGUCACACUGGAACUGAGACACGGUCCAGACUCCUACGGGAGGCAGCAGUGGGGAAUAUUGGACAAUGGGCGAAAGCCUGAUCCAGCCAUGCCGCGUGUGUGAAGAAGGUCUUCGGAUUGUAAAGCACUUUAAGUUGGGAGGAAGGGCAGUAAGUUAAUACCUUGCUGUUUUGACGUUACCGACAGAAUAAGCACCGGCUAACUCUGUGCCAGCAGCCGCGGUAAUACAGAGGGUGCAAGCGUUAAUCGGAAUUACUGGGCGUAAAGCGCGCGUAGGUGGUUCGUUAAGUUGGAUGUGAAAGCCCCGGGCUCAACCUGGGAACUGCUCCAAAACUGGCGAGCUAGAGUACGGUAAAGGGUGGUGGAAUUUCCUGUGUAGCGGUGAAAUGCGUAGAUAUAGGAAGGAACACCAGUGGCAAAGGCAACCACCUGGACUGAUACUGACUCUGAGGCGCGAAAGCGUGGGGAGCACACAGGAUUA